AAGCUUCGCGGAUUGUCUUUUGCUCCAAGUUAUUUUUGGUGUUUUUUUUUUUUAGUGGUUUUUCAGCGGAGCGCCAGUGGCACUAUACUCUCAGACAGGUUAUCCCGUCUCUCCCGCUAGAUUGAUGAGAUCAGGCAUC
rnacentral:lncRNA from 1 species